ACACAUACAUAUGCCACUCACAUCCGACGUGUGUGGUUGCUCAGUAGGGAAAUGCUUACAGCUGCCUCUAGAAGCAAGUCCGCUCGCUGCAUGGAGAGGGAAACAUGAGCAUGCAGCAGGACUAGCUGUCACCUCCCGCCCGCCUGCCCAGAGAGGGCCAGAGCGUCGGGGAGGCAAGAUGAUCCACCAGCGGUUCCAUCCUACACUUGGAUUCAGUAAGCUGUGAGGUCCGUAAUGUCAGACACUGGCAAACAUCAUAUGUUCUUCAAGUAGAGUUAUGAAAACGAAGAAACUGGUCAGAAGAGUAAAACGCCGGAAUUGUCCUUUCCAACAUCCAGAGCUGCAUCAUUCCUUGGGGCAAAAUGUGGACAAGGAGAAUCAACCAUCAACUGCACACAAAUAAAAAAGCUCUGGGCACCGUAUCAAGCCAAGAACAGCCCAAUCUCCUUUCUGGGCAAACGUUCCAAGAAUCUUAUGGCAAGGGCCUUAUAUGACAAUGUCCCAGAGUGUGCCGAGGAACUGGCCUUUCGCAAGGGAGACAUCCUGACCGUCAUAGAGCAGAACACAGGGGGACUGGAAGGAUGGUGGCUGUGCUCAUUACACGGUCGGCAAGGCAUUGUCCCAGGCAACCGGGUGAAGCUUCUGAUUGGUCCCAUGCAGGAGACUGCCUCCAGUCACGAGCAGCCUGCCUCUGGACUGAUGCAGCAGACCUUUGGCCAACAGAAGCUCUAUCAAGUGCCAAACCCACAGGCUGCUCCCCGAGACACCAUCUACCAAGUGCCACCUUCCUACCAAAAUCAGGGAAUUUACCAAGUCCCCACUGGCCACGGCACCCAAGAACAAGAGGUAUAUCAGGUGCCACCAUCAGUGCAGAGAAGCAUUGGGGGAACCAGUGGGCCCCACGUGGGUAAAAAGUACAUUUGUAGAAAUAAUGUGAAGCCUAUAAAGAUGUUCUCUGCCUCCAGAGAGAAUUUUGUUUCCUUCUGCCAGCCUCAUAGGCAAGCAUACAUCUGAUUCCAUGCUUUGAGCUGUUCUGGCAACCCUGAUGUCUUCAGCCUGUGCAAGGGUGAUAACCCCCGUGAGGACAGGCCAUGGCUACGUAUACGAGUACCCAUCCAGAUACCAAAAGGACGUCUAUGAUAUCCCUCCUUCUCAUACCACUCAAGGGGUAUACGACAUCCCUCCCUCAUCAGCAAAAGGCCCUGUGUUUUCAGUUCCAGUGGGAGAGAUAAAACCUCAAGGGGUGUAUGACAUCCCGCCUACAAAAGGGGUAUAUGCCAUUCCGCCCUCUGCUUGCCGGGAUGAAGCAGGGCUUAGGGAAAAAGACUAUGACUUCCCCCCUCCCAUGAGACAAGCUGGAAGGCCGGACCUCAGACCGGAGGGGGUUUAUGACAUUCCUCCAACCUGCACCAAGCCAGCAGGGAAGGACCUUCAUGUAAAAUACAACUGUGACAUUCCAGGAGCUGCAGAACCGGUGGCUCGAAGGCACCAGAGCCUGUCCCCGAAUCACCCACCCCCGCAACUCGGACAGUCAGUGGGCUCUCAGAACGACGCAUAUGAUGUCCCCCGAGGCGUUCAGUUUCUUGAGCCACCAGCAGAAACCAGUGAGAAAGCAAACCCCCAGGAAAGGGAUGGUGUUUAUGAUGUCCCUCUGCAUAACCCGCCAGAUGCUAAAGGCUCUCGGGACUUGGUGGAUGGGAUCAACCGAUUGUCUUUCUCCAGUACAGGCAGCACCCGGAGUAACAUGUCCACGUCUUCCACCUCCUCCAAGGAGUCCUCACUGUCAGCCUCCCCAGCUCAGGACAAAAGGCUCUUCCUGGAUCCAGACACAGCUAUUGAGAGACUUCAGCGGCUCCAGCAGGCCCUUGAGAUGGGUGUCUCCAGCCUAAUGGCACUGGUCACUACCGACUGGCGGUGUUACGGAUAUAUGGAAAGACACAUCAAUGAAAUACGCACAGCAGUGGACAAGGUGGAGCUGUUCCUGAAGGAGUACCUCCACUUUGUCAAGGGAGCUGUUGCAAAUGCUGCCUGCCUCCCGGAACUCAUCCUCCACAACAAGAUGAAGCGGGAGCUGCAACGAGUUGAAGACUCCCACCAGAUCCUGAGUCAAACCAGCCAUGACUUAAAUGAGUGCAGCUGGUCCCUGAAUAUCUUGGCCAUCAACAAGCCCCAGAACAAGUGUGACGAUCUGGACCGGUUUGUGAUGGUGGCAAAGACGGUGCCCGAUGACGCCAAGCAGCUCACCACAACCAUCAACACCAACGCAGAGGCCCUCUUCAGACCCGGCCCUGGCAGCUUGCAUCUGAAGAAUGGGCCGGAGAGCAUCAUGAACUCAACGGAGUACCCACACGGUGGCUCCCAGGGACAGCUGCUGCAUCCUGGUGACCACAAGGCCCAGGCCCACAACAAGGCACUGCCCCCAGGCCUGAGCAAGGAGCAGGCCCCUGACUGUAGCAGCAGUGAUGGUUCUGAGAGGAGCUGGAUGGAUGACUACGAUUACGUCCACCUACAGGGUAAGGAGGAGUUUGAGAGGCAACAGAAAGAGCUAUUGGAAAAAGAGAAUAUCAUGAAACAGAACAAGAUGCAGCUGGAACAUCAUCAGCUGAGCCAGUUCCAGCUGUUGGAACAAGAGAUUACAAAGCCCGUGGAGAAUGACAUCUCGAAGUGGAAGCCCUCUCAGAGCCUACCCACCACAAACAGUGGCGUGAGUGCUCAGGAUCGGCAGUUGCUGUGCUUCUACUAUGACCAAUGUGAGACCCAUUUCAUUUCCCUUCUCAACGCCAUUGACGCACUCUUCAGUUGUGUCAGCUCAGCCCAGCCCCCGCGAAUCUUCGUGGCACACAGCAAGUUUGUCAUCCUCAGUGCACACAAACUGGUGUUCAUUGGAGACACGCUGACACGGCAGGUGACUGCCCAGGACAUUCGCAACAAAGUCAUGAACUCCAGCAACCAGCUCUGCGAGCAGCUCAAGACCAUAGUCAUGGCAACCAAGAUGGCCGCCCUCCAUUACCCCAGCACCACGGCCCUGCAGGAAAUGGUGCACCAAGUGACAGACCUUUCUAGAAAUGCCCAGCUGUUCAAGCGCUCUUUGCUGGAGAUGGCAACGUUCUGAGAAGAAAAAAAAGAGGAAGGGGACUGCGUUAACGGUUACUAAGGAAAACUGGAAAUACUGUCUGGUUUUUGUAAAUGUUAUCUAUUUUUGUAGAUAUUUUAUAUAAAAAUGAAAUAUUUUAACAUUUUAUGGGUCAGUCAACUUUCAGAAAUUCAGGGAGCUGGAGAGGGAAAUCUUUUUUUUUCCCCCUGAGUGGUUCUUAUGUAUACAUAGAAGUAUCUGAGACAUAAACUGUACAGAAAACUUGUCCACGUGCUUUUGUAUGCCCAUGUAUUCAUGUUUGUUUGUAGAUGUUUGUCUGAUGCAUUUCAUUAAAAAAAAAACCAUGAAUUACGAAGCACCUUAGUAAGCACCUUCUAAUGCUGCAUUUUUUUUGUUGUUGUUAAAAACAUACCAGCUGGUUAUAAUAUUGUUCUCCACGUCCUUGUGAUGAUUCUGAGCCUGGCACUCCCAAAUCUGGGAAGCAUAGUUUAUUUGCAAGUGUUCACCUUCCAAAUCAUGAGGCAUAGCAUGACUUAUUCUUGUUUGGAAAACUCUUUUCAAAACUGACCAUCUUAAACACAUGAUGGCCAAGUGCCCAAAAGCCCUCUUGCGGAGCAAAUUUCAGAAUAUAUAUGUGGAUCCAAGCUCUGAUAGUUCAGGUGCUGGAGGGAAGAGAGACCUGUGUGUUUAGAGGCCAGGACCACAGUUAGGAUUGGGUUGUUUCAAUACUGAGAGACAGCUACAAUAAAAGGAGAGCAAUUGCCUCCCUGGGGCUGUUCAAUCUUCUGCAUUUGUGAGUGGUUCAGUCAUGAGGUUUUCCAAAAGAUGUUUUUAGAGUUGUAAAAACCAUAUUUGCAGCAAAGAUUUACAAAGGCGUAUCAGACUAUGAUUGUUCACCAAAAUAGGGGAAUGGUUUGAUCCGCCAGUUGCAAGUAGAGGCCUUUCUGACUCUUAAUAUUCACUUUGGUGCUACUACCCCCAUUACCUGAGGGAAACUGGCCAGGUCCUUGAUCAUGGAACUAUAGAGCUACCAGGACAUAUCCUGCUCUCUAAGGGAAUUUAUUGCUAUCUUGCACCUUCUUUAAAACUCACAUAUGCAGACCUGACACUCAAGAGUGGCUAGCUACACAGAGUCCAUCUAAUUUUUGCAACUUCCUGUGGCCAGUGUGUAUAACCCCUUCCACUAUCUCACAGAUAGUCACAGCGUCCAUUCCAUAGUCUGUCUCCUCACAUCUGUUAGUAUUGACACAGCACAGACACCACAAGCCAUCAGGUUCUUCAUGGGGCAGGUGAAAUACUUCUACCCCAUGGGUAAAUGUAUUCACAUAUUACCAAGAGAAGAAGCACAUUAUCUAUGAUCUUUUGGCCCAGUUCUUAUUUAGCAUUUUUAUUCCAGCCUACUUGGAAACAUGUUUUUAUUUGCAAUAUAUGCCUGACUGAAUUAAGCUUGCUUGUUUUAAACAACCAAAUCAUUGGAACAGAAAAGGAUUUAAAAAACAAGAAUGCAUGAUCUCAGAGUGAUUAAAAAAAAAUCAGUGGAAAUAAAUGAUCAUAGAAGGUGCUUUUCAAAACAACUGCUAUUAUAAUUCUCAAAGUCCUACUCUGCCAAAAGAAGAUUAAAAGUCAUACAUUACAUUACAAGGAAAUGUUCAUGUGGGAAGAGGGUUGCUGAAAAUCAACAACGCUUGAAGUUAAAAAGUGUGUCUUUGUAGAUUUCAUUGUAUAAUGUGUAUUUCUUAGGAGAUGGCUGACUUGAUUGAUCUACGCUAAGUGGAGACAUUUCACAUUUUUAAAACCAAAUGUUCAAUCUGUAUUACUCUUUGCCGUCUUGUAUGUAGAGGCUAUUUUUAAAUCAUUAAAUUUUUAGAUCUCUGUUUUCAUA